GACGAACGCUGGCGGCGUGCUUAACACAUGCAAGUCGAACGGAAAGGCCCUGCUUUUGUGGGUUGCUCGAGUGGCGAACGGGUGAGUAACACGUGAGUAACCUGCCCUUGACUUUGGGAUAACUUCAGGAAACUGGGGCUAAUACCGGAUAGGAGCUCCUGCUGCAUGGUGGGGGUUGGAAAGUUUCGGCGGUUGGGGAUGGACUCGCGGCUUAUCAGCUUGUUGGUGGGGUAGUGGCUUACCAAGGCUUUGACGGGUAGCCGGCCUGAGAGGGUGAACGGCCACAUUGGGACUGAGAUACGGCCCAGACUCCUACGGGAGGCAGCAGGGGGGAAUAUUGCACAAUGGGCGGAAGCCUGAUGCAGCAACGCCGCGUGCGGGAUGACGGCCUUCGGGUUGUAAACCGCUUUCGCCUGUGACGAAGCGUGAGUGACGGUAAUGGGUAAAGAAGCACCGGCUAACUACGUG
rnacentral:rRNA from 1 species